rnacentral:rRNA from 1 species
AGCGAACGCUGGCGGCAGGCCUAACACAUGCAAGUCGAACGAACCUUUCGGGGUUAGUGGCGGACGGGUGAGUAACACGUGGGAACGUGCCUUUAGGUUCGGAAUAACUCAGGGAAACUUGUGCUAAUACCGAAUGUGCCCUUCGGGGGAAAGAUUUAUCGCCUUUAGAGCGGCCCGCGUCUGAUUAGCUAGUUGGUUGAGGUAAUGGCUCACCAAGGCGACGAUCAGUAGCUGGUCUGAGAGGAUGAUCAGCCACAUUGAGACUGAGACACGGCCCAAACUCCUACGGGAGGCAGCAGUGGGGAAUCUUGCGCAAUGGGCGAAAGCCUGACGCAGCCAUGCCGCGUGAAUGAUGAAGGUCUUAGGAUUGUAAAAUUCUUUCACCGGGGACGAUAAUGACGGUACCCGGAGAAGAAGCCCCGGCUAACUUCGUG